UACAGAGGGUGCAAGCGUUAAUCGGAUUUACUGGGCGUAAAGCGCGCGUAGGUGGCCAAUUAAGUCAAAUGUGUAAUCCCCGAGCUUAACUUGGGAAUUGCAUUCGAUACUGGUUGGCUAGAGUAUGGGAGAGGAUGGUAGAAUUCCAGGUGUAGCGGUGAAAUGCGUAGAGAUCUGGAGGAAUACCGAUGGCGAAGGCAGCCAUCUGGCCUAAUACUGACACUGAGGUGCGAAAGCAUGGGGAGCAAACAGG
rnacentral:rRNA from 1 species